rnacentral:misc_RNA from 1 species
UAGGCUUGACAUGCUGGGGAAACGCUCUGGAAACAGGGCGCCCUCUUCGGAGCUCCAGCACAGGUGCUGCAUGGCUGUCGUCAGCUCGUGUCGUGAGAUGUUGGGUUAAGUCCCGCAACGAGCGCAACCCCCGCCCCGUGUUGCUAACAGGCUGCAAAGCGCUGAGGACUCUCGGGGGACUGCCGGUGCCAAACCGGAGGAAGGUGGGGAUGACGUUCGUCUGAC